rnacentral:rRNA from 1 species
AUUGAACGCUGGCGGAAUGCCUUACACAUGCAAGUCGAACGGUAGCGGGCCUUCGGGUGCCGACGAGUGGCGAACGGGUGAGUAAUGCAUCGGAACGUGCCAUUGAGUGGGGGAUAACGUAGCGAAAGUUACGCUAAUACCGCAUAUUCUGUGAGCAGGAAAGCAGGGGACCGCAAGGCCUUGCGCUCUUUGAGCGGCCGAUGUCAGAUUAGCUAGUUGGUGAGGUAAAGGCUUACCAAGGCGACGAUCUGUAGCGGGUCUGAGAGGAUGAUCCGCCACACUGGAACUGAGACACGGUCCAGACUCCUACGGGAGGCAGCAGUGGGGAAUUUUGGACAAUGGGGGCAACCCUGAUCCAGCCAUGCCGCGUGAGUGAAGAAGGCC